CGGUUGUCAGCGUCUUCAUUCAUCAAUUCUAUCUGUAAAGAGAUGCAGGGACGACCAACGAAAUCUCGAGUACAUGACCGUAAAAAUAGCCAGCUAACCGGCGGGAGAAAAGCAGAGAUCGAGCUCUGUGUGGAAAGACGUCGUCCGUGCAGAAAACUAUGUCUAAUCUUCGCUCCCGAGUGGAGGGACACGGUGGUCUACGACCGUCUAGCCGACAGUUCCAGGUAUAAAGAGAUCACGCUUAAACACCUGGAGCAAUUUGCCACCGAGGGGCUGCGUACUCUAUGCUUUGCUGUGGCUGAGAUCAGCGAGUCAUCCUAUCAGCAGUGGCUGGAGGUGUUCCACUAUGCCGCCAGCGCCCUGCAGAACCGAGCCCUCAAACUGGAGGAGAGCUAUGAGUUUAUUGAGAAGAACUUGCAUCUUCUAGGGGCCACGGCCAUCGAGGACAAGCUUCAGGACAAGGUGCCUGAGACUAUUGAGUCCCUGAUGAAGGCCGACAUCAAGAUCUGGAUCUUGACUGGGGACAAGCAGGAGACAGCCAUCAACAUUGGAUACUCCUGCAAACUUCUGACCAAGAACACGGGCAUGCUGGUGAUAAACGAAGACACACUUGACGCAACCAGGGAGACCCUCAGCCACCACUGUGGAAUGCUGGGAGACACCCUUCACAAGGAGAACGAUUUUGCCCUCAUCAUCGAUGGAAAGACUCUCAAAUACGCCCUUACGUUUGGAGCACGGCAGUACUUCCUAGACCUUGCCUUGUCCUGUAAAGCAGUGAUAUGCUGCAGUUCAAAUACUUUUGCUGGUCCACUAUUGCUGGUCCACGGUGCCUGGAAUUACAACCGCGUCGCCAAGUGUAUCCUGUACUGCUUCUACAAGAACAUUGUCCUGUACAUCAUCGAGAUCUUGUUUGCCUUUGUCAAUGGAUUCUCUGGUCAGAUUCUGUUUGAGCGCUGGUGCAUCGGCCUGUACAAUGUGAUUUUCACCGCUCUGCCUCCUCUCACUCUGGGAAUAUUUGAACGCUCAUGCAGGAAAGAGAACAUGUUGAAGUACCCGGAACUCUACAAAACCUCCCAGAAUGCCAUGGGCUUCAACACCAAGGUCUUCUGGGCCCAUUGUCUGAAUGGCCUCUUCCACUCUGUCAUCCUUUUCUGGGUCCCCCUCCUAGCCUUCCAGCACGAUACAGUCUUUGGAAACGGAAAGACCCCGUACUAUCUCCUCUUAGGCAAUAUGGUUUAUACAUUUGUGGUCAUCACCGUGUGCCUCAAAGCUGGCCUGGAGACCUCGUCUUGGACUAUGUUCAGUCACAUUGCCAUCUGGGGCAGCAUCAGCCUGUGGGUGGUGUUCUUCGGUAUCUACUCCUCUCUGUGGCCACUCAUCUCUCUGGCUCCAGACAUGUCUGGUGAGUCUGAAGAAGGUGUACUUUAAGACCCUGGUGGAUGAGGUACAGGAGCUGGAAGCCUUGUCCAAGGACCCCGGAGCCGUGGUGCACGGGAAGAGUCUGACAGAGAGGGCACAGCUCCUGAAGAACGUCUUCAAGAAGAGCACCGUGAGUCUGUACCGAUCGGACUCCAUGCAGCAGAACCUGCUACAUGGAUACGCCUUCUCUCAAGAUGAGAACGGAGUGGUCUCCCAGUCUGAGGUCAUCCGGGCGUACGACACCACCAAACAGCAGACCAAUGAGUGGUGAAACCACGCUGCUCUCGGCCAGGACAGCCUAUCACGAUUCACAGUCGUUUUCCGACAGCGAUUUGAAUCUGAGGGUGGCAGCCUCUGGAUAACCCUAGCCCGAGCGUCUCGGGAAUUUGGACAUGACAGAGGGAUGUCUUGUACAUCAAAAAUGGAAAAAACCUAGAAACAAAAAAGCAUUCAAAAAGUAUUCACUUUUUGUAGUUGUGUGUCCAGCAGACAUAAGCACUGUGCUUGCAUUUUUAACAGAGUCUGUGGUCUGAAAUUCCUUACUGUUCCUGCUCAGUUAAAUGUGUUGAAGUAUAACCAUCUUAAUGUCUCCUCCUUUCAUAUUAAUAGAAAAAAUAUGAGUAUUGAGCCAAAACAAUCUAUCAUUUUGUCAAAAACUGUCAACAUGUUUAGGUAUGUGUACUCCAAUUGGUGACAGAAUAAUCCAGAUUUGAUUUUGAUAAAAUAUAAAAAACAAAUGUAAAUGCAGAUUUAAAAAAUAUCCACCAAGCAUAUUAACAAUGAACCACUUCAGAACAGAUAUUUUGUUAUUUUGUUGUUCUUUUGCUCUUUGAAAAAAAAUGUAUUUACUGUAUAGUAAGGCCUUACAUUUGUUCAUGCCUUCAGCCAUCCGUGUUUGUUUUCUUCAAAAUUUAUAUUUUUUAUUUAAGAAGUAUGUAGUUAUUGUGCCUAAACAGCAUUGUCUUUUUAAUGAUAGUCCUGCAACUUAGUCCAAUUUCCAAAAAUGUUGUAUAGCAGUUUGAUUGCUUUUAACAAGUAAUUGCAUUCCACACAUUACUCAGCUGUAACAAUCCCAAUGGUGCCUAACUAGACUUUUUCCCUGAUAGAAUACGUAAGAUAUCCUAGCUAGCUAGUUUAGAACAGUGCUCUACCCCUCGAUUGGCAAGAUGAGCUCCC